rnacentral:lncRNA from 1 species
AGGAAAUAGAAAUGGCUAUUACAACAAUGCCCAGAGAUCUUGCUACACACACACACACACACACACACACACACACACACACACACACACCCCGAGACAGGCACUCUCUGAAGGAGGUGUGCAUAUGAGACUCCCCAGGAAGAGGAGACUUUGAGGAGCCAGAAACCCACCCCCAAACUGGAUGGCAUUUCUCCUGAGCUGGCAGCUCUGUCCACAUGGCUCCUGGAAGGUGGUUUCUUUUCACAGCCUCCAUUCUGAGCUCCUGGGGUACCACUAUCUGGGCCCAGGUGGCUAUCACCCCAGUCCCUGAGAGGGCCACGGUCGGCGGCAACAUCAUGCUGUUGGUGCACAGUGUCCAGAAAUAUGUCCUUUUGUUCAGAUGGUUCCGGGGGAGCAGGAACAGCACUGACCAGUUCAGUAUAAUCAGGCCUGGAGACAGAUUAAUGGAACUCAAUAGGAAGGAGAACCCGGACCACAUCAUUAUGCACCGGAAUGGCUCCCUGACCCUGAAAAACCUUUCGUCCAGAGAUUCUGGCCUCUACAUCGUUGAAGUCCACACCCUGGCAGGAAUAAAUUUUUUGGGUGAGAGAUACAUCCGAGUACAUGGUGAACAUACAAAACUUACGCUCACUCUUGAGUCUGACUAUAACCAAGACAGUACCAUUGAGCUCAAAAUUAAGUCCACCGUGACCUUCCACUGCAUAACCAAGUCCCACCCAGUGACCUCUUAUCACUGGACUUUCAACGGCAGCAGUCUGGACCACACAGGGGAUCAGCUCACCCUACACAAUGUGUCCUGGGCCCACCAGGACAUGCUCCUCUCACUACAAGCAGGCCCAAGCCUCCAGCUCAGCUAAGAUCAUCCUUAGAGUG